rnacentral:misc_RNA from 1 species
GAUAAGGCAAUACGAAUUGGGUAACCGAUAUACUAUCGAUUCAGCCCUCAUUUACGUUUAUUUGUGAUUCAACCUAUAGAUUUCAGUACCAAUAGCUAGGGUGGGGAAUGGAAUUGAAUCAUAUCAUUUGAAUGUAGAAUCAUAUCAUUCUAACAACUAUGUUUUCAACACAUCAAACUCCAAAUCAUUAAGAAUACAGUUCUAGAAGAUUGUGCUGAUAAGCUUUUCAACAAUAAUAUCAAGUGUUAAAAGAAAGAGCAUAGAUAUGUAAUUAUUUCCAGAAAUCUUAUCAAUGAAAAUAACAAUUCCAAUAUUGCCAAAAAUUGGAAUUUAUUGUUACCAAGCUCAUUGAGAACUUAAAAACUGCCGAAUCAAAAAUCAUAUACUUGAUCCACUAAAACUUCUUUCUCAUAUUGAAGGGUGGAUAUUUGGAAUUCUAAAAGGGCAUCUAUCCAAGAAAAUUCCACUUGUUU